rnacentral:rRNA from 1 species
UACGUAGGGUGCAAGCGUUGUCCGGAAUUAUUGGGCGUAAAGCGCUCGUAGGCGGUCUGUCGCGUCGGCUGUGAAAACUCGGGGCUCAACCCCGAGCCUGCAGUCGAUACGGGCAGACUAGAGUUCGGUAGGGGAGACUGGAAUUCCUGGUGUAGCGGUGAAAUGCGCAGAUAUCAGGAGGAACACCGGUGGCGAAGGCGGGUCUCUGGGCCGAAACUGACGCUGAGGAGCGAAAGCGUGGGGAGCGAACAGG